GCCUAGCGAAGUGGUAUUGGCCAGUUAUAUACUCCAACAGCAACAUGUGAUACUACAAAAUCCAAAUUAAUUCAAUGCAAGAAUAACAGUUUGAAGGAUGUGGAUCAUGCAAUGUGUUCUUUAACUGGAAGAAACGCAGAGACACUACUAGUGCUUUGUAUGAAAUGGAUACGCAUGAGGCGGUCGAAACAGAAUUUCAUUUAAAUUAUGCUAGUGCGGUGGAUUCCGAAAGUAUAUCACAUGGAAUAUAUGAGAUACAUAAAAGAAGUGUUUAUACCAACAGAACAGCACGACAGGACUGUUUAACUCAGAUGAACACAACAGCUUUUCAAAUGUGCUCCAGCCUUCCAAACUUAAAUGUUGACGAUUAUCUCGAUAACUGCGUUGCAGAUGCACUGAUGUCAGAUUCGAUGGAAUGGACAUUGAUUCACCUCGAGGGAUAAAAAAGCAAUGUGUACAUAAUGUAGAAGUAAAUCAACCUAUUCCAGAAGACGUUCUACAAGAACUUGACACGUUAACAGCAGAGGCAAAUAUUACCAAUACAACAAGCGGUGCAAAUGGAACAGCUGUUUUACCUGCAAUUCCAGCUGUAUCAAAUUUCAAUUUUACCGCUGAACUGCUAGAUGAUAUUAAAGAUGUCAGUUGUCCGAGGGAAUGUAGUGGGAAAGGACUCUGCACAAAAGGAAAGUGUGUGUGUAAUACUGGUUUUAUUGGGAUAGACUGUGCAAUAGAUGCUAGUAAACCACCUGAAAUGAUCGGAAUUUCAGACAAAGGGAAAUGUGAUCUACAAAACAGUAAACGU